UGCAUCGGCCGGGAAUCGAACCCUGGCCGCCCGCGUGGCAGGCGAGCAAUCUACCACUGAACCACCGAUGC
rnacentral:tRNA from 1 species